rnacentral:rRNA from 1 species
GUGUCAGCCGCCGCGGUAAUACGUAGGUGGCAAGCGUUGUCCGGAUCUAUUGGGCGUAAAGCGAGCGCAGGCGGAAAAAUAAGUCUAAUGUGAAAGCCCUCGGCUUAACCGAGGAACUGCAUCGGAAACUGUUUUUCUUGAGUGCAGAAGAGGAGAGUGGAACUCCAUGUGUAGCGGUGGAAUGCGUAGAUAUAUGGAAGAACACCAGUGGCGAAGGCGGCUCUCUGGUCUGCAACUGACGCUGAGGCUCGAAAGCAUGGGUAGCGAACAGGAUUAGAUACCCUGGUAGUCCAUGCCGUAAACGAUGAGUGCUAAGUGUUGGGAGGUUUCCGCCUCUCAGUGCUGCAGCUAACGCAUUAAGCACUCCGCCUGGGGAGUACGACCGCAAGGUUGAAACUCAAAGGAAUUGACGGGGGCCCGCACAAGCGGUGGAGCAUGUGGUUUAAUUCGAAGCAACGCGAAGAACCUUACCAGGUCUUGACAUCUAGUGCAAUCUGUAGAGAUACGGAGUUCCCUUCGGGGACGCUAAGACAGGUGGUGCAUGGCUGUCGUCAGCUCGUGUCGUGAGAUGUUGGGUUAAGUCCCGCAACGAGCGCAACCCUUGUUAUUAGUUGCCAGCAUUAAGUUGGGCACUCUAAUGAGACUGCCGGUGACAAACCGGAGGAAGGUGGGGAUGACGUCAAGUCAUCAUGCCCCUUAUGACCUGGGCUACACACGUGCUACAAUGGGCAGUACAACGAGAAGCAAGCCUCCGAAGGCAAGCGAAUCUAUGAAAGCUGCUAUCAGUUAGGACUGCAGUCUGCAACUUGACUGCACGAAGCUGGAAUCGCUAGUAAUCGCGGAUCAGCACGCCGCGGUGAAUACGUUCCCGGGCCUUGUACACACCGCCCGUCACACCAUGGGAGUCUGCAAUGCCCAAAGCCGGUGGCCUAACCUUCGGGAAGGAGCCGUCUAAGGCAGGGCAGAUGACUGGGGUGAAGUCCUAACAAGGUAGCC